rnacentral:rRNA from 1 species
AGAGUUUGAUCCUGGCUCAGGACGAACGCUGGCGGCGUGCUUAACACAUGCAAGUCAAGGGGGCUCGGGGGCAACUUCGGGCAACCGGCGAACGGGUGCGUAACACGUGAGCGACCUACCUCUCGGUGGGGGAUAGCCGGCCCAACGGCCGGGUAAUACCGCAUACGCUCUCUGGGGGGCGUUCCCUGGGGAGGAAACUUCCGAGACCGAGAGAGGGGCUCGCGGCCUAUCAGCUAGUUGGCGGGGUAACGGCCCACCAAGGCAGUGACGGGUAGCUGGUCUGAGAGGAUGGCCAGCCACAUUGGGACUGAGAGACGGCCCAGACUCCUACGGGAGGCAGCAGUGGGGAAUCUUGCGCAAUGGCCGAAAGGCUGACGCAGCGACGCCGCGUGGGGGAGGAAGGGCUUCGGCUCGUAAACCCCUGUUGCCCGGGGCGAACAUCCCUUUUCGAGGGGACUGACGGUACCGGGUGAGGAAGCACCGGCUAACUCCGUGCCAGCAGCCGCGGUAAU